AAGGAUUUCACCUCGUUUAGUGCGUUCUCGACUGUGCAAGCGCAGAUAACAGCCUGCAGCUGAAAAUCCCGAAGUCCUGAUAUUCUCAACGCUUAGUGCUCAGAGCACUUGAUUACUUGGUCUCGGCAGCUGCCAUAUUGAAUACUUUCCAGUGGUAUUAUAGAUGCCAUUUAUAAGCGACAUAAGGUCGAUUGGUGUGCUUUCUUUCUGUACACACAGUUCGUAUUGCUUCAAUCUGUCUACUGACGCAAUAGGUUUUGCUUCUUUGAUGUAUAGUAUUCCUCACAGCCUUCGAAAGAAACGUAUUUGCCAAGGCACGGAAACAGUGCGACAAAUGUACAUAAAGAUUCAAGUAACAUGGUGAAGGCUUUUCUUGGACUGCUUCGUUGGAGCGCCAUUUCGGCAUUUUGUUCAGCGAGUCCAAAAUCAAGUACCGGUGACUCAUUACCCGAUUUUAAAAUAAGCUUUUACGUAAUCGCUGACAAGGCACUCACCGAGCGCUUUCACAGUGACCACGUCAAGGUCGAGAAUCAUGUUGAACACAUUGUAUCCA
rnacentral:lncRNA from 1 species